UACAGAGGGUGCAAGCGUUGUUCGGAAUUAUUGGGCGUAAAGGGAGUGUAGGCGGUUUGCUAAGUCUUCUGUGAAAUCUACGGGCUCAGCCUGUAACGUGCAGAGGAAACUGACAGACUUGAGUGUCGGAGAGGAUAGUGGAAUUCCCGGUGUAGAGGUGAAAUUCGUAGAGAAUCGGGAGGAACACCUGUGGCGAAGGCGGCUCGCUGGGCCGGUCCUGACGCUGAAACGCGAAGGCGUGGGAGC
rnacentral:rRNA from 1 species